rnacentral:rRNA from 1 species
GACGAACGCUGGCGGCGUGCCUAACACAUGCAAGUCGAACGGAGAUAUGAUUUCGGUUGUAUCUUAGUGGCGAACGGGUGAGUAACGCGUGAACAACCUGACUCUAAGAGGGGAUAACACUCGGGAACGGGUGCUAAUACCGCAUAAGACCACGACCUGGCAUCAGGAUGAGGUCAAAGGAGCAAUCCGCUGAGAGAGGGGUUCGCGUCCCAUUAGAUAGAUGGCGGGGUAACGGCCCACCAUGUCAACGAUGGGUAGCCGAGCUGAGAGGCUGAUCGGCCACACUGGAACUGAGACACGGUCCAGACUCCUACGGGAGGCAGCAGUGGGGAAUAUUGGGCAAUGGGCGCAAGCCUGACCCAGCAACGCCGCGUGAGGGAAGAAGGCUUUCGGGUUGUAAACCUCUGUCCUUGGUGACGAAACAAAUGACGGUAGCCAAGGAGGAAGCCCCGGCUAACUACGUGCCAGCAGCCGCGGUAAU